rnacentral:tRNA from 1 species
AGGUGGCUGAGAGUUUAAGGUGAUGGACUUCUAAUCCAUUCUGCUCUGUACAUGUGGGUUCAAAUCCCAUCUU